rnacentral:lncRNA from 1 species
UAAAAACGCAAACCUACCGGCAGAGGAGUUUCCGGGCGGGGCAACUUCACCGAUCCUCCUUCGCGGCUGGGGUUCAUGCUUUAGUUACCCUACAUAGAAAAAGAUAGUGAACAUAAUGAUCAGAAAUUCAUGUGAAAUAGGAAGCGAGAAGGGGCUCAUAGGAGGAAUUUUUGGGUUUUGUCCACGACAACUCUGCCGGGUUUUGCUUGUAAUUUUUGGCUCACUCGCCGUCCCUCUUGAUCCAUAUGGCCAUAGGGAGGCUUG